ACUUCGGUGGGGAUUAGUGGCGAACGGGUGAGUAACACGUGGGCAAUCUGCCCUGCACUCUGGGACAAGCCCUGGAAACGGGGUCUAAUACCGGAUACGACUACCGACCGCAUGGUCUGGUGGUGGAAAGCUCCGGCGGUGCAGGAUGAGCCCGCGGCCUAUCAGCUUGUUGGUGAGGUAACGGCUCACCAAGGCGACGACGGGUAGCCGGCCUGAGAGGGCGACCGGCCACACUGGGACUGAGACACGGCCCAGACUCCUACGGGAGGCAGCAGUGGGGAAUAUUGCACAAUGGGCGAAAGCCUGAUGCAGCGACGCCGCGUGAGGGAUGACGGCCUUCGGGUUGUAAACCUCUUUCAGCAGGGAAGAAGCGCAAGUGACGGUACCUGCAGAAGAAGCGCCGGCUAACUACGUGCCAGCAGCCGCGGUAAUACGUAGGGCGCGAGCGUUGUCCGGAAUUAUUGGGCGUAAAGAGCUCGUAGGCGGCUUGUCGCGUCCGUUGUGAAAGCCCGGGGCUUAACCCCGGUCUGCAGUCGAUACGGGCAGGCUAGAGUUCGGUAGGGGAGAUCGGAAUUCUGGUGUAGCGGU
rnacentral:rRNA from 1 species